rfam:Enterococcus avium ATCC 14025 genomic scaffold acpMO-supercont1.1, whole genome shotgun sequence.
GCAAUCGUGAGGCUGUGGCUGAAGGAAGUCGGACGCAAACUCCUGAACUGACGAACAGAAACUAGAUACAAGGCUGAAUUAGGUCGGAUAAGUCUUCAUCACAAGACAAAGUCCAAUACUGCCCGAAACCUAUACAGUAAAUCUAGCAGUUACAUGGGAGGAAAGUUUUCACU